rnacentral:lncRNA from 1 species
CAUCACUGCAUAACUAAUCCACUUCAAGCCACAGAUUAUUAUUAUUAUUAUUAUUAUUUUAUUGAUCAAAACAGAAUUUCCCGCAUUGAACUAGAAGUAGAAACCUGACGGUAGCUAGUUGUUCCAAGAAAAGCACAAAUUCAAUCUCAAAUACGGUAACACAACCAUCAAUCCCAGCAUGAAUUUUGAAAGAUUGAAAAAAAAUAACGUUUGACCUGAUCGUUAGCCGUUCCUAGAUCCAGAUACGCGGAGGAAUCGGAGUUUGAGUCGGAGAAUCUUCUCGACGAUGAAGAGAGCAGAAGGAUGAGAUUUGAAAGAGGAGUAUACGUGUGAUCGUGUGUGUGGUGAAAAUAUAGAAUCUUUUUUGUUAAAAUGAUAAAAUUUACUCAUUUUAUAUACUCUCUCCCCCUUCUCCCCACCACGUUUCACAAAUCUUCUCCUCCUCUUCUCCCUCGUUCUCCUCGAAAUCCCUAAUCUUCUCCGGCCUCCGGGAAUCUCUUCUUAGAUUCUUCACUGUUGUUGCUGCCUUGCUGGAAAUCUCUUCUCCAGUUCUCCCUCCGUUGCUACUUGCUGGAUUCUCUCAUUUCUCUGGUAUUUAUUUGUUGAAUUGUUGAUCUUGUUUGUUGUUUCUACAUAUUAUUUGGGUCUGAUGGAUAUGAUACGAUGGUGUUGGGCUACUGUCGGUAUCCACAAUUCCACAUCCCUCCUCGUAUCGGAAAGAUGGCGGCUUCGGCGAAUGCAUGGGCUGUCGGUGGAUCAAUUCUCCAAUUGUUGCAUGAUAAACACUUCCAGAUGAACCACUUCCAAUAAGUUUUCCUUUUUACCAUUGAUGUCUCAUUGCUGACAUGUCUCCUUUUGUUACAGAUUGACGAGAAAAAGAUGCUGGAUAAUUGUUUGAAGAUAUAGGAGGAAGAGGCAAUGGAUGAACAUUAACAUUAUUAUCAUACUUUCCUGAAGAACUCUCUGGAAAAAUCAUUUGAUGCAAUGGAGAUGAGGGUGCACUAACAUUCCUGGAUCUUAAGACAUGUCUCUUUGCUAUUGGACUCUGAAUAGGAGAACGGUCAGGGCUAUUAAAUAAAUUUUCUACCGACAUAUAUUCAUGGAAUCCUGUGACAAAAUCUGAAAAAUUAUUUGAUUAACGAGUCUCUGAAGAGCUUGUGGAGUAAAAUAACCAGAAGGUACAAAAUCCCCAGAACUCUGUCUUCGAGGACUGAGCUCAGGACUGCAGAGCCCACUGGUUGGAGCACUUCUAACAGG